CCAGCCGUAAACGAUGCUCGCUAGGUGUCAGGCAUGGCGCGACCGUGUCUGGUGCCGCAGGGAAGCCGUGAAGCGAGCCACCUGGGAAGUACGGCCGCAAGGCUGAAACUUAAAGGAAUUGGCGGGGGAGCACAACAACGGGUGGAGCCUGCGGUUUAAUUGGACUCAACGCCGGACAACUCACCGGGGACGACAGCAAUAUGUAGGCCAGGCUGAAGACCUUGCCUGAAUCGCUGAGAGGAGG
rnacentral:rRNA from 1 species